UAGGGAAUCUUCUGCAAUGGACGCAAGUCUGACGGAGCAACGCCGCGUGAGUGAAGAAGGAUCUCGGUUCGUAAAACUCCGUUGUUAGAGAAGAACAGCGCAUAGAGUAACUGUUAUGCGUGUGACGGUAUCUAACCAGAAAGCCACGGCUAACUACGUGCCAGCAGCCGCGGUAAUACGUAGGUGGCAAGCGUUGUCUGGAUUUAUUUGGCGUAAAGCGAGCGCAGGCGGUCAAUUAAGUCUGAUGUGAAAGCCCCCGGCUCAACCGGGGAGAGUCAUUGGAAACUGAUUGACUUGAGUGCAGAGGAGGAGUUUGGAUUUCCCUGUUUAGCGUUGAAAUGCGUAGAUAUAUGGAGGAACACCAUUGGCGAAGGCGACUCUCUGGUCUGUCACUGACGCUGAGGUUCGAAGGCGUGGGUAGCAAACAGG
rnacentral:rRNA from 1 species